GAUGAAGAACGUAGCGAAAUGCGAUAAGUAAUGUGAAUUGCAGAAUUCAGUGAAUCAUCGAAUCUUUGAACGCAUCUUGCGCUCCUUGGUAUUCUGAGGAGCAUGCCUGUUUGAGUGUCAUUAAAUUCUCAACUACACUGACUUUGAAUUGGUGUGGCUUGGAUUUGGGGGGAAAAUUGUUGUGGGCUUUUUGUAUAGUCUGCUCCCCUGAAAUUGAUUAGCGGUACCUUUGUGGAACUGUCUACAGGUGUGAUAAUUAUCUACAUCUUAGACAUCUGCUGGAAUGCUGCUUUCUAAACCUUACAUGUAUUGACAAUCUUGACCUCAAAUCAGGUAGGACUACCCGCUGAACUUAAGCAUAUCAAUAAGCGGAGGA
rnacentral:misc_RNA from 1 species